rnacentral:rRNA from 1 species
AGUGAACGCUGGCGGUAGGCCUAACACAUGCAAGUCGAACGGCAGCACAGUAAGAGCUUGCUCUUACGGGUGGCGAGUGGCGGACGGGUGAGGAAUACAUCGGAAUCUACUUUUUCGUGGGGGAUAACGUAGGGAAACUUACGCUAAUACCGCAUACGACCUACGGGUGAAAGCAGGGGAUAUUCGGACCUUGCGCGAUUGAAUUAGCCGAUUUCGGAUUAGCUAGUUGGCGGGGUAAAGGCCCACCAAGGCGACGAUCCGUAGCGGGUCUGAGAGGAUGAUCAGCCACACUGGAACUGAGACACGGUCCAGACUCCUACGGGAGGCAGCAGUGGGGAAUAUUGGACAAUGGGCGCAAGCCUGAUCCAGCCAUACCGCGUGGGUGAAGAAGGCCUUCGGGUUGUAAAGCCCUUUUGUUGGGAAAGAAAAGCAGCAGGUUAAUACCCCGCUGUUCUGACGGUACCCAAAGAAUAAGCACCGGCUAACUUCGUG